AGCAGUGUGGCAUAGUGGUAAGGUGCAGGGCUCAUAACCAAAAGGUUGUUGGAUCGAUUCCUUACUGCGG